rnacentral:misc_RNA from 1 species
AAGAUGCCAGCUCUGGACGAUGUCCUCAUUAUUUUCGAAUAUAAUCUCAAUGAAUUGCCUGUAAUUAACACCUAGAACAGACGUGUCUUGGUAAAUUCCUCCACCAGUUGGGGAAUCAGGUAUGCUUCCAACUCUGAAUCCGCCAAUCUUGAAGUAGUCGAGUAGUUUUAGAGGAGUAUCAAGUGGCACAAACGACACGCUGUUGACAGCAUAUCUCUGUUUGCCAUUCACUUGACCAGCAGAGCUAGCAAGUCUGAUGGUUUUAGUUGUGUUGAUCAUACCAUAAUGG